UACGGGGGGGGCAAGCGUUGUUCGGAAUUACUGGGCGUAAAGGGCUUGUAGGCGGCCAACUAAGUCCGACGUGAAAUCCCCAGGCUUAACCUGGGAACUGCGUCGGAUACUGGAUGGCUUGAAUUCGGGAGAGGGAUGCAGAAUUCCAGGUGUAGCGGUGAAAUGCGUAGAUAUUACAAGGAACACCAAUGGCGAAGGCAGCUUGCUGGGCCACUCCUGACACUGAGGUACGAAAGCGUGGGGAGCGAACAGG
rnacentral:rRNA from 1 species